CUGUUGGCGGGAGGCUGUGACGCGCGGCCCAGAUACGCGCCGCCGGGACCGCGCCGAGCCACUGGCGAGACCGACCCGCGAGGAU
rnacentral:ncRNA from 1 species